AGAGUUUGAUCCUGGCUCAGAACGAACGCUGGCGGCAGGCCUAACACAUGCAAGUCGAGCGCGCCCUUCGGGGUGAGCGGCGGACGGGUUAGUAACGCGUGGGAACAUACCCUUUGGUACGGAAUAGCCUCUGGAAACGGAGAGUAAUACCGUAUGAGCCCUUCGGGGGAAAGAUUUAUCGCCAAAGGAUUGGCCCGCGUUAGAUUAGGUAGUUGGUGGGGUAACGGCCUACCAAGCCUACGAUCUAUAGCUGGUUUUAGAGGAUGAUCAGCAACACUGGGACUGAGACACGGCCCAGACUCCUACGGGAGGCAGCAGUGGGGAAUCUUGGACAAUGGGGGCAACCCUGAUCCAGCCAUGCCGCGUGAGUGAUGAAGGCCUUAGGGUCGUAAAGCUCUUUCGCCUGUGAAGAUAAUGACGGUAGCA
rnacentral:rRNA from 1 species